rnacentral:rRNA from 1 species
UGGGGAAUUUUGGACAAUGGGCGCAAGCCUGAUCCAGCCAUGCCGCGUGCGGGAAGAAGGCCUUCGGGUUGUAAACCGCUUUUGUCAGGGAAGAAACGGUCUGGGCUAAUACCCCGGACUAAUGACGGUACCUGAAGAAUAAGCACCGGCUAACUACGUGCCAGCAGCCGCGGUAAUACGUAGGGUGCAAGCGUUAAUCGGAAUUACUGGGCGUAAAGCGUGCGCAGGCGGUUAUGCAAGACAGAUGUGAAAUCCCCGGGGUUAACCUGGGAACUGCAUUUGUGACUGCAUAGCUAGAGUACGGUAGAGGGGGAUGGAAUUCCGCGUGUAGCAGUGAAAUGCGUAGAUAUGCGGAGGAACACCGAUGGCGAAGGCAGCCUCCUGGGCCAGUACUGACGCUCAUGCACGAAAGCGUGGGGAGCAAACA